UUUCUUACUCCCUCGUGUCAUCUCCUCAAAGACACACCACAUCACUCUCAUCUUCUUCGUGUCUUCAAUUGAAUCAGCCACAAAUUAUUUCAAGUUCAAUCUGUUUCAAAGUCUUCAUUUUAUAAUUUGAGAUGAAUUAUUUUCUUGGGGAGGAAAAAUUGAUUCAUUCAAACAAGUUGUUUAGGAGUAAACCCCAAAAUCUCUUCAUUCUUCUCACCUCUGUUCUGUCCGUCGAAUUAAAGCAACAUGCACUCAUUUUUUAGUCUUUGUUCCUUCAUCAAAGCUGUAGAUCUCUUCGAGAUAUUGAAUUUAGGCUCAAAAAUUUCUUCAAUCGGAGUUCGGAGCUAAGAGUUAUGCUCCUGGAAGUUGUAGGUGCUGCUGCCACUGUUGCAGCGUUUUUCUCUCUCCUCUGCUUCCGCGGUGCUGCUGCCACUGUCGUGCUGCUGCUGCAUGUUGUUGUUGUUGUUGUUGUUGUUGUUGUUGUUGUUGUUGUUGUUGUUGUUGUUGUUGUUGUUGUUGUUGUCAUCGAUUCUUUUGUUUCGAUUUGAAGGAAACCCAAUUCAAUUUGAGCCAAAUUCUAUCAAGGUAUGAAAUUUUGUUGGUGAUUUAUCUUCAUUCCUCCAAUUUAUAGUAUACAGAUUUUAUCCUUCCAUUUUAUUUGUAACACUAAUUCAAAUUAUGAUGGGUUUUACUUCAUGAUUUCACAAAUGAAUUUAGCUCUAUAUAUAAUUGUUGUUUAGCAAAAAUCAGUUGAGAUAAGGAUUUGUUAAAUUUAAAGAUUGUAGUUUUACUCUUCAUUUAAUGAAUUGGAUGAAGGUUUAUAAUCUGUGAGUUAGUUUAUGUCAAUAAGUUAUAUUUUUGAAUAUAUUCUAUAUAAAUUAGAAGGGAAAAUCAGAGGAUUUAUUGAUUCAAUUAAGGAAGAUGAUAACCAUAGAUAUCAAGUUACUGUACAACUUAUGGAACUAUGUUGGAUUGAAAUAUAGAGUAUUUGUUGGUUCGUAAAGGAAAAUCUGAUUUAUAAAGAGUAAUAGUUAUAAUGAGCUCAUAUGUCUAUCAUUGCUACCAUAGAAGAGUUGAACUGCAAUGGACUUGGAUCUCCUAGGAUAAGUUAAGUUGUUUUGGAAGGAACAAUUGGAUUAUGGGUUUCUUGGUAGUUGAUGUGGAGACUCACUAUUAAUAAUUGUUAAUAUUGUUAUUGAGGUGGAAAUUAUGGAGCUUAAUGGUGUAGAUAAUCGAGGAAACUAAUUAUUGAGGAUCAAUUACGGUAUGGAGGCAAUGUUUGAAGAUCAGAUAAAGCGUUCAAUGCUAAUAAAUUUUUCAGGGAAGGUGGAAUCCAGCUUCGGUGUGGUUUAAGGAUCAUGGUAUAAUAAGAGAUGCUUUUCGGAUAAGCUAUGGUGGAGAUCAUAUAAUGUUAUAGGAAAGAAAUGUCAUGGUGUUUUAAUGUAUUAUAUUGGAGAUUUGAUUGAUCAAUUCAUGUAAUUGUAUUUCUAUUUUGUGAUAUUGUUAUGGUCCCAUAACCCACAGGUCCAGGAUCGCUUCAUAGGUUUGUUCCGCUACAAGAUAUAUUUUUAAAUUUUGAGGUUAUGGUGUUAAUUGAGUUUUAUUAAUGUUAAGUAUGAUUAGCUAACAACUCGGAAGUGCGGGCUGUUACAUCAAGUGUCUGUUUAUGCUAAGUUUUUGAAAGACAUGAUUACUAAAAAGAAAGACUUUGGUGGGGUAAAUCGAGUCGUUGUUACUAAAGAGUGUAGUGAUGUUUUACCAAAUAGAACCCCACCUAAGUUGAAGGAUGAUGAGUGAGAUUUAUCUCACUCUUAGGGUAUUUUUUAGGCUAUUUUACUUGAUUUAUUUUUCAUUUUAGUUUCCUUUUUCCUUAAUUUCACCUCUUUUUUCUGUAACUCUCUCUUAGCAUAUGUGUACAUGUAUUUGCAUGCAUCCCCAUCCCCUACUAUUCUGUUUGAUCUUUGAUGUGUAGGAACUCAAGUUCCUACAAGCUUAGAGGGGAACAAAAAGGGAAGCAAGCAGAAUAUAUCGUCCAAGGAUCGCUCGAGCCACCAGCAUCCCGCCAGGGCCAGUCAGCUCGCCCGAGCGAACAAGCAGCCCGCCUAAGCCAGUGAGCCCGCCUGAACAAACAAGCAGCCCGCCCGGGCUCAUGAGUGGCCAAACCUACUGCCUCCUCAUGGAACUUAAGGUGCACGCCCGGGCUUGAAGCUCGAGGCCACCUAACCUACACCGUCCGGGCCAUAUCUCUGCUCGCCCGGGCACCUUCUGACAUCCCUCCCGGGCCACUGGCCAUUGGGCCUUUUUUCGAAUUUCUUUUAUUUUACGACUUUUGUAAUUAGAGGGGGUAUAAGUACUCCUCUAUCCCAUUUUGGGAAAGGAUCCAGAUUUUUUAGAAUCCUAAUCUUGUUUACUAGUGUAGGAGAGAGAAAACUUGACUCAAGAGGUGUAAUUUGUAGAUUGAAAUCAAUGAAAAAGUGACAAU